GAUGAACGCUGGCGGCGUGCCUAAUACAUGCAAGUCGAGCGAACGGACGAGAAGUUUGCUCCUCUGAUGUUAGCGGCGGACGGGUGAGUAACACGUGGAUAACCUACCUAUAAGACUGGGAUAACUUCGGGAAACCGUAGCUAAGACCGGAUAAUAUUUUGAACCGCAUGGUUCAAAAGUGAAAGACGGUCUUGCUGUCACUUAUAGAUGGAUCCGCGCUGCAUCAGCUAGUUGGUAAGGUAACGGCUUACCAAGGCAACGAUGCAUAGCCGACCUGAGAGGGUGAUCGGCCACAUGGGAACUGAGACACGGUCCAGACUCCUAGGGGGGGCAGCAGUCGAGAAUCUUCCGCGAUGGGAGAGAGCCUAACGGAGCAACGCGGCGUGAGUGAUGAAGGUCUUCGGAUCGGAAAACUCUGUUAUUAGUGAAGAACAUAUGUGUAAGUAACUGUGCACAUCUUGACGGUACCUAAUCAAAAAGCCACGGCUAACUACGUG
rnacentral:rRNA from 1 species